UACGGAGGAUCCAAGCGUUAUCCGGAUUCAUUGGGUUUAAAGGGUGCGUAGGCGGAAUGAUAAGUCAGUGGUGAAAUCCUGCGGCUUAACUGCAGAACUGCCAUUGAUACUGUCAAUCUUGAGUAUAUUUGAUGUGGGCGGAAUGUGUCAUGUAGCGGUGAAAUGCUUAGAUAUGACACAGAACACCGAUUGCGAAGGCAGCUCACAAAACUAUAACUGACGCUGAGGCACGAAAGCGUGGGGAUCAAACAGG
rnacentral:rRNA from 1 species